rnacentral:rRNA from 1 species
UACGAAGGAUCCAAGCGUUGUCCGGAUUUACUGGGUUUAAAGGGAGCGUAGGCGGACUUUUAAGUCAGUGGUGAAAGCUUGCAGCUUAACUGUAAAAUUGCCAUUGAAACUGAAAGUCUCGAGUAUGGUUGAGGUGACUGGAAUAUAUCAUGUAGCGGUGAAAUGCUUAGAUAUGAUAUAGAACACCAAUUGCGAAGGCAGGUCACUAAACCAUAACUGACGCUGAGGCUCGAAAGCGUGGGGAUCAAACAGGAUUAGAUACCCUGGUAGUCCACGCCCUAAACGUUGAAUACUCGAUCUUAGCGAUAUACAGUUAGGAUCCAAGCGAAAGCGUUAAGUAUUCCACCUGGGAAGUACGAUCGCAAGAUUGAA